ensembl:snRNA U6 U6 spliceosomal RNA
AUGCUCACUUCAGCAGCACAUAUACUAAAAGUGGAAUAAUACAGAGAAGAUUGGAAUGGCCCCUGUGCAAGGAUGCGUGAAGUGUUCCAUAUUUUU